rnacentral:rRNA from 1 species
UACGGGGGGGGCAAGCGUUGUUCGGAAUUACUGGGCGUAAAGGGCGCGUAGGCGGCCAGACAAAGUCGAGCGUUAAAUUCCAGGGCUUAACCCUGGGCUGUUGCUCGAUACUAGUCGGCUAGAGUGUGGAAGAGGGUGCUGGAAUUCCCGGUGUAGCGGUGAAAUGCGUAGAUAUUACAUGGAAUACCAAUUGCGAAGGCAGGUUACUACCAAUGGAUUGACGCUGAUGGACGAAAGCGUGGGUAGCGAACAGG